AACCAUAGAAACCUGCGGAGUACCUGCGGAAGGAUCAUUACCGAGUUUACAACUCCCAAACCCAUGUGAACAUACCUAUCGUUGCUUCGGCGGAUCGCCCCGGGCGCCUUGCGUGCCCCGGAUCCAGGCGGCCGCCGGGGGACCUUAACUCUUGUUUUUACUGAGAAUCUUCUGAGUCGUUUUUACAAAUGAAUAAAAACUUUUAACAACGGAUCU
rnacentral:misc_RNA from 1 species